rnacentral:rRNA from 1 species
GAAUGACGGGCCCGCACAAGCAGCGGAGCGUGUGGUUAAUUCGAUGUUACACGAAGAACCUUACCAGGGUUUGACAUGCAAGCGGUAGGAAGCCGAAAGGUGACCGACCCUUCGGGGAGCUUGCACAGGUGCUGCAUGGCUGUCGUCAGCUCGUGUCGUGAGAUGUUCGGUUAAGCCCGCUAACGAGCGCAACCCUCGCUGUGUGUUAUAUGUGUCACACGGGACCGCCGGUAUUAAGCCGGAGGAAGGUGCGGAUGACGUCAAGUCAGCAUGACCUUUAUAUCCAGGGCUACACACACGCUACAAUGGACAGUACAACAGGUUGCCAAGCCGCGAGGCGGAGCCAAUCCUCUAAAGCUGUCCUCAGUUCAGAUUGCAGGCUGCAACUCGCCUGCAUGAAGUUGGAGUUGCUAGUAACCGCAGGUCAGCUAUACUGCGGUGAAUACGUUCCCGGGGAUU